rnacentral:rRNA from 1 species
ACGGGAGGCAGCAGUGGGGAAUAUUGCGCAAUGGGCGGAAACCCUGACGGAGCGACGCCGCGUGGACGAUGAAGGCCGGAAGGUUGCAAAGUCCUUUUAUGGCAGAGGAAUAAGCGGGGGAGUGGAAAGCCUCCGUGAUGACUGUAGGCCAUGAAUAAGCACCGGCUAAUUACGUGCCAGCAGCCGCGGUAACACGUAAGGUGCGAGCGUUGUUCGGAAGCAUUGGGCGUAAAGGGCAUGUAGGCGGUCUGGCAAGCCAGGCGUGAAAGCCAGGGGCUCAACCCCUGAACUGCGCUUGGAACUGGCGGACUGGAGUCGCUGAGGGGGAACCGGAAUUCCUGGUGUAGGGGUGAAAUCUGUAGAUAUCAGGAAGAACACCGAUGGCGAAGGCAGGUUUCCAGCAGACGACUGACGCUGAGGUGCGAAGGUGCGGGGAGCAAACAGGAUUAGAUACCCUGGUA